rnacentral:rRNA from 2 species
GGGGAAUAUUGCACAAUGGAGGGAACUCUGAUGCAGCGACGCCGCGUGAGCGAAGAAGGAAUUCGUUUCGUAAAGCUCUGUCCUAUGGGAAGAUAAUGACGGUACCAUAGAAGAAAGCCCCGGCUAACUACGUGCCAGCAGCCGCGGUAAUACGUAGGGGGCGAGCGUUGUCCGGAAUUAUUGGGCGUAAAGGGUUCGUAGGCGGUAAUACAUGUCAGAUGUGAAAUCUUGUGGCUUAACCACAUCAAGCAUCUGAAACUGUAUAACUUGAGUGGAGGAGAGGUAAGUGGAAUUCCUAGUGUAGCGGUGAAAUGCGUAGAUAUUAGGAAGAAUACCAGUAGCGAAGGCGACUUACUGGCCUCUAACUGACGCUGAUGAACGAAAGCGUGGGUAGCAAACA